UCGUCUUCCAAUCAGGUAUUUACGUAAAUAAAAGCAAAAGUGAGGGCAACUUUAAAACCAAACGCUCCACCGCUUCGUCCCUUUCACCUCUAGAAUAUACUCUGGCACGGGAGGUCUGCUCCUCUUUCAAUUUUUGUCCAAAAUCUCAUCUUUUUUUAUUUCCUCUUCUUUCAUUUCUUUGCCUUUUCAAGCUCGCUUCAGAUGUUUAACCGUUGUCGACGUCUUCUCUAACCCAAUUCAUAAAGCGCACGUUUAUUUGAAUGUAAUAUUAGCUUUGGGUGCUCACGUUUCCUAUACUGGUCUUCUAUUUCCUUUGAAGUGUGGAUGUCUGCUUUUCUUUGCACGUUACAUUUUGAUAUAAGUUAUGUUCAGCUUUUUAAAUGUCAAUGGAUGCAUUUUUUGGAGUUUCGGACAUGGUGCGGCAGCAUUUUUGGGGAUCCCCUGCAACAUAGCAAAUUUGAAGAGACACUUUUUUCGAUAGGUGGACUCUACUCUGGAAUUAGUUGAAGCCUACAUGAACUGUCUACUAAUUGUGAAGUGAAUUUUGAGCUCUGGUAAGUGCUCUGCAGUUGAGUUGAUGUGGUGUCACUUCCUUUGUUUUGUUGAUAAUCUGCUAAAGUUAGAUAUUUACUAAUGCCUUUUGCUUUUCGGACUCAGUGUCCUUAUGCAUUACUUUACUUUUUCCAGAUCCUAAAAUUCAAUAGGAAACUCAAGAAGUGUUACUACAAAGUGAAUCUACAUCCUUCGUGUUAGUUUCAUGUAUUGUAUUGAACAUUAUACUUAUCGCGGACUUUUCCAAUGACAAUCAUUAGAUUUUCUAAAUAUUAAAAGUAUGUGGUAUCAUUGUUUGUAUUAUAAACGUUCUUACUUUUCAGAUGUGAUGUUUUUGUUUUAUUUUUCAUUAUGUUCAGAUAAAUAUAGCCUGCUAAAGCUGACACUCUAGAUCUUUCCUACCUAGCCACUUCUUCGUAGAGGAGGAUAACAAUAUAAUUCUUCACUCCAACCCUGAAAGGCAGGGAGCUCAUCAAUUAAGUUAGGCUCAACCGUUAAUAUGUAUCAGGAGUUAUAGAACAAAUGCUAUUUGAAUUUUAUUGUCCUUAUUUAAUAUUUUUUUUUGUAGUUUAGUAACUAAACCGACUCAUUUUUCGUGUUGGGCUCGUGCUUGCUCGGGCUUGCCACCAUCUAGUAUAUAUAUAAAUAUAGAUUCGGCAGGGCAUGACAAUGCGGGAUACUAAUUGGCAUAAUAAGCCUACGCUUUUUCAAAUUGGCAUCUGCUAACCAAAUAUACAUUUCUUUUAAAAUGUUUGACAGUUUCUAAUCAAUUCCUUCACCGAAAAAAUAGAUCAUUUUCUCUCAUCCUUUAAUAUAUUUAUCCUUAAAUAAGCCUCAUUACACGUUAACCUCUUCUUUGAAACUAUAGAUAUUUAUUCCCCCCCCUCCCCUAAUUGUUAUAUUCUCCAAAAUUUAUAGUGGAGUUGAUAUAGUCUUUGUCGAGUUUCAGUCUUCUUAAUUUGUUAUAUUGUGAAGUACUUUGUAUACAUUCAAAUAUAUAUUUUGUAAUACCAUAUAUGUAUUAUGAUAUAUAUUGUGAAGUACCAUGUAUAGUGAUAUGUAUUGUGAAGUAGUAUGUGUGUGUGUAUAUAUAUAUAUAUAUAUAUAUAUAUAUAUAUAUAUAUAUCACACGUAAGAAGGUGAACUAAUUUUGGAUUCUACCCCUAUUAUUACGUUAUAUCAAUUUUUAAGAAUGUGUAAUAUAGAGUGAUUUUUCAUUGCCCCCUUAUUUGUUUGUUCUAUCUAUGGAAUACCUUUCAAGAUCAUUGAAGACUUUGAGGAAUAUCCCUGAUUUCAACUACCAUACAAAGUGUGAGAAACUAAACUUGGUGCAGCUGGGGUUCGCUAAUGAUUUACUUAUUUUGUAGGGGUGACAUAGGCUCUGUACAAUUGAUGUAGGAUUGUUUUGCUAGAUUCUCACAGGCCUCUAGACUGAUUGCUAACCUGAGCAAAAGCUCCAUUUAUUUCAGAGGGGUUGGUCAACAUGAACAACAAGAGAUUAUCCAGACUCUGGGCUUUACUAAAGGUGAGCUCCCAUUUAAAUAUUUGGGAGUACCUCUGAGCACAAGGAAGAUCUCCAUAGCCCAAUGUCAACCAUUAGUAGACAAGAUACUAGGUAAUCAUGGACUGCUAAAUAUCUAUCUUAUGCUGGAAGAUUGUAAUUGUUGAAGACGGUGCUAUUCUCUGUACAAGUAUAUUUGUCACAGAUUUUUGUGAUCCCUAAGAAAAUUCUUAAGCUGGUAGAGACAGUAUGUAGAACAUAUCUGUGGACAGGUAGGACUGUGGCUUCUAAAAAAGCUCCUUUAGCUUGGGAAACUGUAUGCAGCCCACGAAUUUAACGUAAUUGACUUAUAUACGUGGAACAAGGCUGCUAUCUGUAAGUUGUUGUGGAGUAUUUGCAAAAAGAAGGAUAGACUUUGGGUGCAAUGGAUACAUGUAUAUUAUGGAAAGGUACACACAAUAUGGCUUAAUGUGCCUAAGCAAGCUUCUUGGGUUGUGAGGAAAAUCAUGAAGGCUAAGGAGUAUAUCGAGACUGCUGGGGUAAGCAUGGAUGAGAUAGUGAUCUGGGAAAAAUUCUCAAUCAAAACUAUGUACUUAAGACUGAGAGGUACCUUUCAAAAAGUUCCAUGGAAGAAGCUAACUUGCAGUAAUGGGGGACUACCUAAAUGGAACUUUAUUCUAAUUCUAGCAGCUCAGAGAAGACUACUUACUAGAGACAGAUUGGCGAAAUAGGGGAUGAUUGAUGAGACUGUGUGUCCACUAUGCAUUGUGGAGAAUGAAUCGAUUGAACACUUAUUCUUUAGCUGCUUAUUCUCCACUAGUGUUUGGAGUAACAUUUUGACCUGGCAAGGACUUAAUAGACAUAUACUUGGUUGGCAAGAAAAGCUUAAGACUGCAAGUGACUAUGCCAAAGGGAAUUCUGCUGAUGCCAUAAUUUACAGGAUGACUAUUCUGCUUAUAUACAUCAGAUUUGGCAAGAGAGAAAUUUGAGGAUAUUUCAACAUCAAAGUAGACCUGUAACUCCUAUGAUUAGAAUGAUUAUCCAGGAGGUUGUAGGAAGGGGUGCAAUGCAGAAAAAGCUCUCAAGGAAGUUAUCUGAACUCAACUUUUAUCCUUAAUAUGGUGGUCUUAGUAGCUUAUUGGAGGUGUAGUGGAUGAGUGGUAUGAGUAGUGAGCAGCCUUGGGGCAUUAUGUCCAAGGUUGCUGGUUGGAAUUUUGAGAAAUUACAGCUUUGUAAAGUUAUACUUUUUGGUAAUAAAAUUCAUUAGUUGUCAAAAAAAAAAAUAUGUAGAUGAUUUUAAAGGGAUAAUAUUAUGUUCAGAGUGAUUUUAGGAGAAAGGAUAGUUUACUUAGCAUGAUUUUAGGGGUUAGAUACCAGAUUGGCUACACAAUGCCAUUAUUUUUAGGUUUACUUUUGCUAAAUAUGUUUUGGGUCAAAAGAAUGUCAAUUUUAUGUAUGACUUGUACCUAUAUGUCAAUUUCCCUAUAAUGAAUGUUUGGGCAUUUUACAA